rnacentral:rRNA from 1 species
UGGGGAAUCUUGCGCAAUGGACGGAAGCCUGACGCAGCCACGCCGCGUGAGUGAAGAAGGCCUUCGGGUUGUAAAGCUCUGUCGCCCGGGACGAAAAGCUAUUGGGUUAACAGCCGAGUAGCCUGACGGUACCGGGAGAGGAAGCACCGGCUAACUCUGUGCCAGCAGCCGCGGUAAUACAGAGGGUGCAAGCGUUGCUCGGAAUUAUUGGGCGUAAAGGGUAGGUAGGUGGUCUCAUUUGUCUGGGGUGAAAUCCUAGGGCUUAACCCUAGAAGUGCCCCAGAAACGGUGAGACUGGAGUCCUGGAGAGGGUCGUGGAAUUCCCGGUGUAGCGGUGAAAUGCGUAGAGAUCGGGAGGAACACCAGAGGCGAAGGCGGCGACCUGGACAGGUACUGACACUCAACUACGAAAGCGUGGGGAGCAAACAGGAUUAGAUACCCCCGUAGUCC